rnacentral:lncRNA from 10 species
CUCUUAUGAAGAAACCGUUCUUACGGAAGCCCAGAUGAGACAACUUGAGACAGGAUUCAGAAACGCUGAUUUUAGUAACCUUAACCCUCGGCCCUUGGUGGGAACUUCGGCUCUGUGGGAAUUAGUCUUUGGGGGACUGAUGGUCAUGCUGAAAUCUUAUUGCGUAGGAAAUUAAGUACAACAAAGAAGACCCGUCGUGAGAGGAGAGUGCGGAAGAAAUGCGAAGUCUACGGGAGGUGGCAGCUGCAGAAGCUUGGUGUUGGAUUUGGCGUUAGGAGACCGGGAGGAGCCCAGCUUCCGGUCCAGACGGUUAUCUUGUUGACUUGCACGACUGCAAACGCCCUGAGCUGCUUUUGCAGUCUGAAACAUCAGCGAUCCCAUCAAAAUAUUCUGUUUCUUGGGAUAUAAGAAACAUCCCAAGGCGGGCUGUAGAGCGAGAGAUUUGGACUCGAUUUAAAUACAGACAAAAUAGUAUGCAUUUACUAACACCACAUCUCACCCCCACGAAACUUGCCAAGCCCAACAAAAUAAUGGCACACAGCAGUUGCUGCCCAAGCCUGGGUGCUCCUGGUGGUCCUGCACGAUCGGCUGUGCAGUAGGCUUGUCAAGGAGAGGAUCCUCCCUGGCCUCUCCUUGGGCAGAGGAGGUGGUCCAUAAAGCUGCUCUGGAGCCAAAAUAUUGCAGUCACAUCUCGGCAGCGACCUGCCCUCAGGUGGCAUUUUCAAGUCAUGGAGAAGGCGGAGGAAGAGGAAGACAGAGCUCUUACCAGGGGGAGGCAGAGAUGGCACAGCAAGAGACAUGCCCCCAGAAUGCCACCAAUGCCCCAGGACAGGCCCACCCAUGGGACCAGGUUAUCAGGGGCCCUGUGGGGAUGGGGUGGAAUCUGAGGGGUCAGCCUUCUUCCCCAGGCUGGGAGUGGGUGAGACGAGACUGGGGCCUCUAUGUCUGAGUGCCCCCCAAACCCAGCAGUCAUGUCGCGAGGAAACGAAAUCACGUUACUUCUUCCAGCUGAUGUUCCACUUGUUUCUUCUGUUGUUUCUGUGGGGAGAGUCAAAUAAGGUGAUGGAGGGUGGCCCCCUCAACUCUAUUCCCCAGACCAGGAAGCGGUAGGCAGGGGCCAGGAAUGGAUUUUAAAGGCAAAGUUCUCAGACAUAAUGGGAACACGAACCGGUAAACUCUCCUCAAGCUCCCAAGGACAGAGGAUUUGGGUCUUUGUUGGCUUUUGCCCACAGCCACAGAACUCAGUCUGAAUCUGGAAUCUCUUGAGAGGACAGCAACAUAAACCUCUAGAGAUGGAGUUUCAGAAAGGCCCCUCCUUCUGGCAGCUUGUGAUUUAGAAAAGUGGGUUCAUUCAAUAAACACUUACUGAGCACCUAUGGGCCAGGUACGGUUCUUCACAGCAGAUAUAGGAUGGAAAAGGACAGACAGGAGCCCUUAGCCCUGAGGUUUCCAUUCCCGGGGGCCUUUAAAUCUCAGACUCGAGAGCUAACAGAGACCUUUGAUACUCACUACCUCCUCUGGAAACACGAGCCCAAAAAGGAGAGGUGGCUUGUCCAGAAUCAAAGAGCAAAUUAGGGACUGAGUCAUGGCAGAAAUACGGGGCCCUUGACAACCAGUCAGGCUAGCACUUCCCCAAGAGGCAACAACCCCAGGGCGUGUGUAGCAAGGACUCGAGCAGGGGUGUCUGGAGAGGAGAGAGUCGGCAAAGAGGGCAGCAAAAGAAGAGCCAUGCUGCAU